UACGUAGGGUGCAAGCGUUAUUCGGAAUUACUGGGCGUAAAGCGUGCGCAGGCGGUUCGGAAAGAACGAUGUGAAAUCCCAGGGCUUAACCUUGGAACUGCAUUUUUAACUGCCGGGCUAGAGUAUGUCAGAGGGGGGUAGAAUUCCACGUGUAGCAGUGAAAUGCGUAGAGAUGUGGAGGUAUACCGAUGGCGAAGGCAGCCCCCUGGGAUAAUACUGACGCUCAUGCACGAAAGCGUGGGGAGCAAACAGG
rnacentral:rRNA from 1 species